UAAUAAUUUAAAUGUGAGUAUAAUAAUAAAUAGCAUAAUGUAUUUAUUCUUAUAUUGGUGAUAAUUAAAACCAAUAGCAAUUAUGUGUUUUUGAAAAAAUCAUUUUCAUAGAAAAAUGAAAUAAACAUAUAGCACAUGAGAACAGGUAUCAAUUAGAUAUUUUAUACCUGAGUAGUAGAAUAUGUAGCUUAGAAGUUCUAUAGAAGUUUAAUUCCUAUUGCUCAAAUAAAAAAGGAAUCAAUAUACAUUGUAUAAUGAUGUAUAAUUAGUUAAUAUCCAUUUUUUUUUUAGUUUUUAAAAAUGAUAAAUUGUCAUUUGAUAGAUGCAAUUAUCAUUUUAGAUUUUUGUAAGAAAACAAACAAAAAAAAUAGAAAGAAGGUUUGAUAGAACUUUGACUUUCAAAAAUAAUUCUGCAUUUAAAAAAAUUAUAUUUGCUUUUUUUAUAUUCAUAUAUUUCAUUUUAUAUGAUUAGAAGUAGAUGUGUUCAGAAUGCCUGCUGUCAUUAAACAUUUAUUUAUAAUAAACAAUUUAUUGGGGAAAUAUGCAGAGAAAAUGCAUCAGAAAAACAAAACAAAAAUAACU